GAAGAGUUGUGGGCGCGGAGGAUUACACGGCGUUAGUUUUUUUUUAAUUAUGAGGAUUUUUAGUGCUGAUGAUGUGACAGGAGGAGUUUAAUGCCGGGCGAAAGCCACUAGAGAUGCCCUAAUCAUUCUUGGCAAAUACGCGAUUACCCAGGCGGAUGCACCAAACUCUAUGCUUCGUUCACUUUGAUUCCUUCAUCAUCGAACUGGAAAAUGCUAUCUCACGACGUGCCUUAAACCUUGAUUGUAAAUGUUGGCAGGAUAUCUCCAAUGGGCAUGAUCUUCAUUCCAUGCUAAUAAAGGAUAUAGCCAUAAGCCUGAAGAGUUCGCAGUGCAACAGGAUAUCGCAAACGGCGUGAGAGUAUUAGCGCUAACGCUUGCCAAACUCUCCGUUUCUUGAUGCCUUGAACUUGUUACUCAAGGCUACAUGUAUGUGUACCUAAAUAAAUCGCCUAUUUUUGCUUUUGUUUAGAAAAUUAUGAAUUCUGGCAAUACCAUUAUGCUCUUAUUGCUCCUUUUUCAGCUGGUUUUAUU